UGGGGAAUUUUGGACAAUGGGGGAAACCCUGAUCCAGCCAUCCCGCGUGUGCGAUGAUGGCCUUCGGGUUGUAAAGCACUUUUGGCAGGAAAGAAACGUCAUGGGUUAAUACCCCGUGAAACUGACGGUACCUGCAGAAUAAGCACCGGCUAACUACGUGCCAGCAGCCGCGGUAAUACGUAGGGUGCAAGCGUUAAUCGGAAUUACUGGGCGUAAAGCGUGCGCAGGCGGUUCGGAAAGAAAGAUGUGAAAUCCCAGAGCUCAACUUUGGAACUGCAUUUUUAACUACCGGGCUAGAGUGUGUCAGAGGGAGGUGGAAUUCCGCGUGUAGCAGUGAAAUGCGUAGAUAUGCGGAGGAACACCGAUGGCGAAGGCAGCCUCCUGGGAUAACACUGACGCUCAUGCACGAAAGCGUGGGGAGCAAACAGG
rnacentral:rRNA from 1 species